AGAGUUUGAUCCUGGCUCAGAAUGAACGUUGGCGGCGUGGAUUAGGCAUGCAAGUCGAGCGAGACCCCGCAAGGGGGGAAAGCGGCGAAAGGGAGAGNNNCGCGUGGUUAUCUGCCCUCGGAUCUGGGAUAGCUGUGGGAAACCGCAGGUAAUACCGGAUAACGUCUACGGACCAAAAGGUGUGAUUCCGUCCGAGGAUGAGGCCGCGUCCUAUUAGCUAGUUGGUAAGGUAAUGGCUUACNGGCAAUGAUGGGUACUGGGNNNGAGACACGACCCAGCUCACUGGGACUGAGACCUGCCCAGCACCUACGGGGUGGCUGCAGUCGAGAAUCUUCGGCAAUGGGCGCAAGCCUGACCGAGCGACGCCGCGUGCGGGAUGAAAGGCCUUCGGGGUGUAAACCGCUGUCGGAGGGGAUGAAAUGCGUGGGGGUACUCCCCCCAUGUUUGACAUAUCCUCAAAGGAAGUACGGGCUAAGUUCGUGCCAGCAGCCGCGGUAAGACGACCGUACAAACGUUAUUCGGAAUUACUGGGCUUAAAGGGUGCGUAGGCGGCGCUGAAAGUUGGGUGUGAAAUCCCUCGGCUCAACCGAGGAACUGCGCCCAAUACUGCAGUGCUUGAGGGAGAUAGAGGUAAGCGGAACUUAGGGUGGAGCGGUGAAAUGCGUUGAUAUCCUAAGGAACACCCGUGGCGAAAGCGGCUUACUGGGUCUCUUCUGACGCUGAGGCACGAAAGCUAGGGUAGCGAACGGGAUUAGAUACCCUAGUAGUCC
rnacentral:rRNA from 1 species